AAAACGGUACGUUUCGCUUUUUUCAGUAAUCAGUAAUACCUUGUGUGAAAAGUAAAAGACGGUGGCUCUGUCUUCGUGUAGUUUAAGCUUCAAUCUCUCAAAUCAUUCUCUCUUCGAAAUUGAUUGGCCUACGCUUCCUGUAAUUGUUUGGUUGAAAAGUGUAUAUAGAUGGACACUAGAGUUAGUACUCAGUUAAAAAGUCAGUCGAAGGAAGUGGGUUAUGAAGAGAAGACGGCUGCAGUUCAUGACGAAAUGAAGAGAAUGAACCGACUUCCUGCUAACAGCACGUAUGCUACUCAUCGCUUGCGGGUUCUUAAUAAGAUACUGCAACUUAUGUCCAUUCAGAGAACUGUGGCACAGGAUCAGGAGUUGGAGUUGCUUUUUGCUGGGCUAUCUCUGUGAACCAACCUGUCUAGGUAGUGGUCAGUUUCAGUUGAAUUGAACUUCUGCAACAAGAUUAAGUUUCUAUUUACUUUGCACUAUGAUUUCUAUACCUAUCAGAAUGACAGAUCUAGGAUCCCUCUAUCCCUGGAAACACCUUUCUAUACCCCGUGGUUUGUGUACAAAAGUGAUGCACAGCGCACAUUUCUGGCAUGCUGAUAUUUAGUGGUUGUGAAUAUCUUUCAUACCUAUUCCAAAUUGACAUGUUCUGUAUAUACUGUUUGAUAAUCUGUGGACAAAUAUGCUAAUGAUAUAAGCUUCUUUGAUCAUCAA